AUUGAACGCUGGCGGCAGGCCUAACACAUGCAAGUCGAACGAGUGGCGGACGGGUGAGUAAUGUCUGGAAAACUGCCUGAUGGAGGGGGAUAACUACUGGAAACGGUAGCUAAUACCGCAUACCAUCGGAUGUGCCCAGAUGGGAUUAGCUAGUAGGUGGGGUAAAGGCUCACCUAGGCGACGCUCCCUAGCUGGUCUGAGAGGAUGACCAGCCACACGGUAACGGAGACACGGUCCAGACUCCUACGGGAGGCAGCAGUAGGGAAUGUUGGACAAUGGGCGCAAGCCUGAUGAAGCCAUGACGCGUGUAUGAAGAAGGCUUUAGGGUUGUAAAGUACUUUCAGCGGGGAGGCGUUACCCGCAGAAGAAGCACCGGCUAACUCCGUGCCAGCAGCCGCGGUAAUUC
rnacentral:rRNA from 1 species